UUAUAUAAAACAAAAUCUAACAACCUAUUUCACAUCCAACAACGGUUCUAACGCCUAACACCAUACAUAACUCCUAAGAAUAUUAUAAGUAGAUUGUACAAACAUAUUUAAAUUGCAAUGACAUAUUUAUAUAUAAUAAAAUCUAAUGGUGUAUAUCACAACUAACAGUGAUUGUAACACCUAGCUCUAUACUUAGCUCCCACUUAUUGUUAUCAUAUAGCGACACAGUUAACAUCAAACAACUUCUAUAAUCUCUAACAAUUAUUAUAACAUCUAACAACAUACCAUAUUAAACAAAUCCGUAUACACCUUUAGCAC
rnacentral:lncRNA from 1 species